rnacentral:lncRNA from 10 species
CUGGGUCUGUGGAACUACUUGGUGGUCAUUUCCCAGUCCCUGAAUAUGUAAUUAGAAUUAUUCUACUUAGUGGUAGGUGCAACCUCUACUUUGUAUCCUUGGCCUGUGAGGCAUCAGAACUGUUCUGACCCUAAAAUUAUUUGCUUCAGAAGAAAAGACUCAGCUCUAUGUCGAGCCAAGCUCCAAGAAAAAAAUAAUUCUCAAGGAUUUGUGGAUGAACUUUAUUCAUUACUGAUUUUUCCCAUAAA